AUGAGUUUGGGUAGGAUCUGGGUGUUGGUGAUGGACAGGGAAGCCUGGCGUGCUGCAGUUCAUGGGGUCGCAAAGAGUCAAACUGAGUGACUAAGUCAAGAAAUCACCUGAAGCAAGAUUAAAGGGACUAGAGAAGCUCAUCAAGAUUAGGAGACCUGAGAUGAGACUAAGUAGUGAAAGCCCUGCUCACGCCCUAAUCUUGUCAGAGACCCCACCUCUGACCUAUCUUCAUCAAGUUCUCUGGAGUUGAGACAUGUAGUUUUUCAAUGCAGAAGCUCAGUGUGUCUCUCUAAGCCUGGCAAAGCAAUAAAGCUAUCCUUUUCUGCUUUACCCACAACUCUUUCCCUGGGAUUUGAUUCAGCACCAGAGUACAGAGAGGCUGAGCUUUCAGUAACAACCUCACUUCUCUGAUAGAUCUAAGAAGAAUUGUUGAUUUUUCAGUUUGUUCUGCUUUUUCAUUUGUUGGGAUGGAGUGAUGACUUCUAAGACCCUUACAUGCUGGAUUGGAAGCUUGAAGUAUAGCCCCAUUCUCUCUGGUCAAGGUGGAUUCCUCACCAACUGAGCCAUCAGGGAUAUCUGGAUCUCAAAUGGGAACUUUUGAUUUUAAUUGCUCUGGGUUAUGGCCAAAGCAACUUGUAAAAGAUAUUUAUGUCAUUCAUGUGAUGGAUAAAGAAGAUGUGGUAUAUAUAC